rnacentral:rRNA from 1 species
AGAUUAAGUUAUUAAGGGCGCACGGUGGAUGCCUUGGCACUAGAAGCCGAUGAAGGACGUUACUAACGACGAUAUGCUUUGGGGAGCUGUAAGUAAGCUUUGAUCCAGAGAUUUCCGAAUGGGGAAACCCAGCAUGAGUUAUGUCAUGUUAUCGAUAUGUGAAUACAUAGCAUAUCAGAAGGCACACCCGGAGAACUGAAACAUCUUAGUACCCGGAGGAAGAGAAAGAAAAUUCGAUUCCCUUAGUAGCGGCGAGCGAAACGGGAAGAGCCCAAACCAACAAGCUUGCUUGUUGGGGUUGUAGGACACUCUAUACGGAGUUACAAAGGACGACAUUAGACGAAUCAUCUGGAAAGAUGAAUCAAAGAAGGUAAUAAUCCUGUAGUCGAAAAUGUUGUCUCUCUUGAGUGGAUCCUGAGUACGACGGAGCACGUGAAAUUCCGUCGGAAUCUGGGAGGACCAUCUCCUAAGGCUAAAUACUCUCUAGUGACCGAUAGUGAACCAGUACCGUGAGGGAAAGGUGAAAAGCACCCCGGAAGGGGAGUGAAAUAGAACCUGAAACCGUGUGCUUACAAGUAGUCAGAGCCCGUUAAUGGGUGAUGGCGUGCCUUUUGUAGAAUGAACCGGCGAGUUACGAUUUGAUGCAAGGUUAAGCAGUAAAUGUGGAGCCGUAGCGAAAGCGAGUCUGAAUAGGGCGUUUAGUAUUUGGUCGUAGACCCGAAACCAGGUGAUCUACCCUUGGUCAGGUUGAAGUUCAGGUAACACUGAAUGGAGGACCGAACCGACUUACGUUGAAAAGUGAGCGGAUGAACUGAGGGUAGCGGAGAAAUUCCAAUCGAACCUGGAGAUAGCUGGUUCUCUCCGAAAUAGCUUUAGGGCUAGCCUCAAGUGAUGAUUAUUGGAGGUAGAGCACUGUUUGGACGAGGGGCCCCUCUCGGGUUACCGAAUUCAGACAAACUCCGAAUGCCAAUUAAUUUAACUUGGGAGUCAGAACAUGGGUGAUAAGGUCCGUGUUCGAAAGGGAAACAGCCCAGACCACCAGCUAAGGUCCCAAAAUAUAUGUUAAGUGGAAAAGGAUGUGGCGUUGCCCAGACAACUAGGAUGUUGGCUUAGAAGCAGCCAUCAUUUAAAGAGUGCGUAAUAGCUCACUAGUCGAGUGACACUGCGCCGAAAAUGUACCGGGGCUAAACAUAUUACCGAAGCUGUGGAUUGUCCUUUGGACAAUGGUAGGAGAGCGUUCUAAGGGCGUUGAAGCAUGAUCGUAAGGACAUGUGGAGCGCUUAGAAGUGAGAAUGCCGGUGUGAGUAGCGAAAGACGGGUGAGAAUCCCGUCCACCGAUUGACUAAGGUUUCCAGAGGAAGGCUCGUCCGCUCUGGGUUAGUCGGGUCCUAAGCUGAGGCCGACAGGCGUAGGCGAUGGAUAACAGGUUGAUAUUCCUGUACCACCUAUAAUCGUUUUAAUCGAUGGGGGGACGCAGUAGGAUAGGCGAAGCGUGCGAUUGGAUUGCACGUCUAAGCAGUAAGGCUGAGUAUUAGGCAAAUCCGGUACUCGUUAAGGCUGAGCUGUGAUGGGGAGAAGACAUUGUGUCUUCGAGUCGUUGAUUUCACACUGCCGAGAAAAGCCUCUAGAUAGAAAAUAGGUGCCCGUACCGCAAACCGACACAGGUAGUCAAGAUGAGAAUUCUAAGGUGAGCGAGCGAACUCUCGUUAAGGAACUCGGCAAAAUGACCCCGUAACUUCGGGAGAAGGGGUGCUCUUUAGGGUUAACGCCCAGAAGAGCCGCAGUGAAUAGGCCCAAGCGACUGUUUAUCAAAAACACAGGUCUCUGCUAAACCGUAAGGUGAUGUAUAGGGGCUGACGCCUGCCCGGUGCUGGAAGGUUAAGAGGAGUGGUUAGCUUCUGCGAAGCUACGAAUCGAAGCCCCAGUAAACGGCGGCCGUAACUAUAACGGUCCUAAGGUAGCGAAAUUCCUUGUCGGGUAAGUUCCGACCCGCACGAAAGGCGUAACGAUUUGGGCACUGUCUCAACGAGAGACUCGGUGAAAUCAUAGUACCUGUGAAGAUGCAGGUUACCCGCGACAGGACGGAAAGACCCCGUGGAGCUUUACUGUAGCCUGAUAUUGAAAUUCGGCACAGCUUGUACAGGAUAGGUAGGAGCCUUUGAAACGUGAGCGC